UGGACUCCGCCCAAGAUCUAGCCUGAGGUCUGCUCUCUGCUUGUUAAAAAGGAGAUCAGCAAGUGUUAGCCAGGUGUUAAAGACAGACCAACACGAAGCAGAGACUGUGUUUUCCAUAAUAAGAAGAAUUGCAGAGAACCGAAAGGGAGACGAGCUCCCCAUUUUGUGAAUCUGUUUUAACGCCCUGUUUGUGUCCCACCUAAAAUAAUUACCGUCGUAGGGACCCAAGGGGAAACUGGAAUAGAGACCCUAUAAGACCUGUUUAAGCUCUAAACUUCUGUAAUUACCUAACGUCUGCGCUCCAUACUUCUUCUAAAUCAUUUAAAUCCCCUUUAUCUUCUUGGCGCUGUGUCCAUCCCAGGCAGAUGCCACUGCAAGUGCUACAUGAACUUGGGAGUUGGUUGUUGGAGGGUUCUAAAGGUUCCACAUGAAAUUUCUCUUCCCCCUCCUGUCGACCUUUGCUCAUCUGACUUCUAUCUGGUCCUGAGUACAUGCGCGUCAAAAUACUAGCACAUUUAUGUUAUACGAAAAGGAUUUCUUGAGAUGAAUCGCUCCUAGACCCUGCAGCGAAUAUGCAGAAGAUGUCCAUUAGCAUCACAGCAAUACUUGUUGGGUACUUACUUUGAAAGCAGCACUGCUCUUGAUGCUGGGGAAAGAGCUUGGGGAGGGGCAAACGGUUUCUGCCCUCACGGAGCCAAUGGGGAGGCAGACCUUAAGAAAAUGAAUCAGUUCUGGGGCAGUUGGCAGAAUAAUGGCCCCUAAAGAUGUCCAUGUCCCAAUCAUCAGAACCUGUGUUUAUGUUACGUUACAUGACAGUUGGGAAUUAUGGUAGCAGAUGGAAUGAAGGUGGCUAACCACUGACCUUGAAACAGGAGAUUGUCCUGGAUUAUGCAAAUGAGGCCAAUGUCAUCAUAAAGACCCUUAAAUGAGGCAAAGGGAGGCAGAAAUUCAGAAUCAGAGAGACAGCACAAUGAGAAAUACUCGACCCUCGACCGGCCACUACUGACUUUGAAGAUGAAGGGGAAUCAUGGGCUGGGGAGCGCAGGCAGCUUCUAAAAGCUGGAAAGCAAGAAAAGGGAAUCUCCUCCAGAGGCCCUGGAAAGGAACACAGCCUUGCUGACACCUUGGUCUUAGCCCAUUUGGACACAUUUUGGACUUCUGACCUCCAGGACUGUAAGAAUGAAGAAACACCAGAUAUGAUUUCAAGCCAUUGGGGUGCUGAUGUGGAUACCGAUGGGCUCCUGCACCUCUUUAGCCAGACAGAUCUGUUAACACCGGAUUUCUGCUACAAUUAUAAAACAUCAUUGGAGACAAGCUGGAUGGGAAAGAACCUCUCCAAAUCAUUCCUGAGUGAUAAUAUGAGAACAUCCAGCCCGAAAGAAAAAUUUGGACCACUCAGUAAUUGCAGCUGCUUGAAGUAGAGAAGGAAAGUAUGUAUCACGAGACAGCUGAUGAUGAGUUCCUACCUCAAUUUGAGUGCCUGGAUAUUCUGAGGACAACUUCCAGCUGGGGAGACUGAGGGAGGUCUUCAUGAAGGAGGUGUCUCAACAAAGUGGUAGGAUGAAAAAAUUUGGAGCUUUUUAUUGAUUGCUGAGCAGAAUACAAAGAAAGAAGACAAGAUCUCUGCCAGUUCACUGAUUCCUCUGUGGGACUGGCUCUUAGUAAGCUGCACGUUUGCAUGGCUCCAGAUACUUACCUCUGUGUUCGUGUGACCCUCACCCUAAUUCCCUAGUGGUGAUGGAUAGCUGGAAUUGCGAUUCCCCUCUUACAACUGCCUGACCAGAAGUGAGGAGACUUGUUACAGGUCUCACAGCUCACGAUUGCAGAGCCAGAGAGAAAAUCUGUGUCUCCCAACCUUGCUGCAAUUCAUUCUAAGUGCACAGGCUGGGACCCUGUGAGGCCUCCGUGAACAGCUUGGUAAAUCUUAGGAGGGACGGCUUGCUGCUGUAAUUAAGGUGUGGAUUAUAGGUUUCCACUCCUCUGGGAAGGAGGAAAAAGACAAAGCAAAACAAAACAAACUAACAGAAACGCCUCUAAGGCUCUUCUGCUUUGUGUAUUGACUUGAAGGUUUCAAAGUGUACUGAGGUUUCCAUGAGAUAUGGAUGGUCUCUGCCUUGUUUGAGUUUCUGGGAAUAUCAGGAAUAAAUUUGCUUUU